UCAUUUAGAGGAAGUAAAAGUCGUAACAAGGUCUCCGUUGGUGAACCAGCGGAGGGAUCAUUACCGAGUUUACAACUCCCAAACCCCAAUGUGAACGUUACCAAUCUGUUGCCUCGGCGGGAUUCUCUUGCCCCGGGCGCGUCGCAGCCCCGGAUCCCAUGGCGCCCGCCGGAGGACCAACUCCAAACUCUUUUUUCUCUCCGUCGCGGCUCCCGUCGCGGCUCUGUUUUAUUUUUGCUCUGAGCCUUUCUCGGCGACCCUAGCGGGCGUCUCGAAAAUGAAUCAAAACUUUCAACAACGGAUCUCUUGGUUCUGGCAUCGAUGAAGAACGCAGCGAAAUGCGAUAAGUAAUGUGAAUUGCAGAAUUCAGUGAAUCAUCGAAUCUUUGAACGCACAUUGCGCCCGCCAGUAUUCUGGCGGGCAUGCCUGUCCGAGCGUCAUUUCAACCCUCGAACCCCUCCGGGGGGUCGGCGUUGGGGAUCGGCCCCUCACCGGGCCGCCCCCGAAAUACAGUGGCGGUCUCGCCGCAGCCUCUCAUGCGCAGUAGUUUGCACACUCGCACCGGGAGCGCGGCGCGGCCACAGCCGUAAAACACCCCAAAUUUUCUGAAAUGUUGACCUCGGAUCAGGUAGGAAUACCCGCUGAACUUAAGCAUAUCAAUAAGCGGGA
rnacentral:rRNA from 1 species